GGAAGAGUAAACCGUAAAGAAUAGUACCCUGGGUUGCAUUGCACGUGACAUGUUCACAAGCAGCAGUUAUACAGUGCAAUCAACUGUGAAGGCGUGCGCCAAUACAUUCGUCCCAUACCAGGAAUGACAGAGCCCCCAUCCCACCCCCCAGCAGGCCUUUCUGGGCUAUGAGCCAUGACGCUGGCCAAAGCCCAGCAGAGUUAUCCCC